GUCCAAGCUGAAGAGGCCCACCUUCCACUCCAGCCGAGGGUCUCUGACUGGAGAGAAUGGAGGAGCUACACCCACUUCUACUAAACCUGGACGCACCGACCCCAGGCGUACCCCAUCGGGAGCCAGUGGCGCAGCCAGCCGGGCGGGCAGCAGAGCAGGCAGCAGGGCCAGCAGCCGGCGGGGCAGCGACGCUUCUGAUGCCUCAGAGCUCCUGGAGACGCGCUCGGCCUGCUCGGACACCUCGGACACCCCUCGGCGACCAGGAGCGGCCAAGCCCUCCAAGAUCCCUACCAUCUCCAAGAAGACCCCAAGCCCCAAGACACCCGCUUCUGGGAAGAAAUAAUGAAGGAGACGUCAAAAAGACGUCAUACAUCUAACUAUAGAGCUGGUUUGACUCCACAGCCCUUCAAACACCAGCCAGGAUGAAAUGGAGAGGAAGAUGUCCAGACUAUAGAAUUAGAUCAAGUAGAACGGACCGUCUCCCAUUCAAAGAGAUGCUCUAUAGUGGACAGACUACUGGUGGCCAUAUUGGGUGUCACAUUUGAUCCAAACAUCCAUCCAUAGGGCUUGCAUGGGAUUCAUGCACCAAGACUACUGUAUGGAGGGCAGGUAGAGAGGGGGAGAAAUAUCUUUCUAUUUUUCCCCGCUCUCGUACACACACUCAAAUACACUCACUGGGGGCAUCGAGGCCCGGGUUCGUGCACUUAGACUGGGGUGAAACAGGACAGAACUUCCCCCUUUAAAACCCAGAUCCCAGUUUGCCUUCCAGUCUCCUGUGCGCUCUCUCCCGUAACAGGAUUGUGCUAGACUGUUUCAGAGAAAGCCACAGCAGUUUGAACCGACAACCAACCAACAUGAUGCUGCCUUAUUUGUGUUGCACAUUUCUGUCCUUACUUUUACCUAAUCUGAGUUCCACAGAGCGUUAGGUAGAGCCUUGUAACUAACUACUUUGUGUAUGUACACACUGACACACACACAACUGAAAUACACACACACACAUUGAGGGUAGUGACGAAAUGACUCAGAACUUGCUGGAGAAUGGCAUUCCGAAGAACUGGAUUGUGGCUAUUGUGGAAAUUGUUUCUCACCAGGAGUUAAACAGAAAAUAUCCAAUGACUGCCAUCUUGUUUUUUACUCUCCUGGACUGGGAAGUGAAGAGGAAUGACACUUCAGCAUGUCUGUGGGUCGGGAACAACCGGACUAGCGUGGAUUUAUAUUCAGUGUGUGGGCUGCCCCACUGACAACUUCCUGAACUGCGCUAACUGCCUAAACCUCAAGCCUAGGAGACUGUGGAAGUGGUGGGAAACACAUACACACGGCAAUGUCCUCACAAACCACUGCAACAAUCAGUGUGUUGGUAGGUGGGAGUGUGUGUUUGAUGGAAUGGAGGGUUUGUCAUAUGGCCCCAUUAGUCUGAAGCUAACACUCAAAUUUUAAAAUUACUUCUUGGUGGGACCCCACUAACGGCAAAAACGUGACAAAAUGUGUAACAAUGAAGUGGCUUGUAAGGACAUGCACAAUUUAACACAAUUUAAGCUACGCUUAUUCCAGAUUAGAGAUUGAAAACCGGCGCACACUGACAGUCUGUAUCGCUGUAAUUCCACUUCGCCCCUCUCCCCUCCGUUGCCGCUGGAAACCCCCAGAGCAGCAAACAUAAAUGUUUGUGUAAACGCGUGUCGUCGUUACACGUUACAGAAAUCAGAGGUCAUCCGCGUGCAAAGAUUUGAUUUGUGAAUGUCUUUCUUUCAUUCUGGUUAAUUUAUAAUCCUGUUCAAUUUUUUUGUUUGUUGCUUUUCUAGCUUAAGAAAACAUUUUUAUUUAUUUUUCAGUUCUGUAUCAUAUCACCUUGGAGAAUGAUUAGUAUUAAGAUGAAUGAAGUCAUGAUAUUUUGUACCAAGGAAAAUGCCCUCUCCUCUCUUCAACGUUGUAUGUUUCUACUUCUUCAUAACAUUACUCAACCAGGAAGCUGACUGAUUCCCAUGGCAGCCUUUUUUUUUUGCUAAUGACUACAACUCCCAGAACACGACCAAAGGGGGUUGCCCUCAUUGUGUUGGCAAAAAACUACGAAUAUGAAUGAAAGGGAGCUGAAGGGGCCAAUGAGUGAACCCCUAGUGUCCCGCCUUAUAGGCGUUUGAAUGGUCGUGUCUUUGAUGGCUGCAAAUGUGCUUCCCUGUUUGUUGAUGUGAGAGCUGAAGUAUCUGAAAACCUAAUGAACGCAAGUGACAUCUUAAGGUGAUUUUUAUUUAUUUAUUGUCUCUUUGGGGGUGAGGAUCCGGGCGCAGGAGAGGAAGUCACCUUUUGGUGUUAUUCACAGUGUGAUGAAGAGAAAAUAUGGAGGGUGGGGGAGGCGGUUAGAAGUCAAUUGUGUAAAAUAAAAAUAUAAGAUUAUAAA